AUUGAACGCUGGCGGCAGGCCUAACACAUGCAAGUCGAACGGUAACAGGAAACAGCUUGCUGUUUCGCUGACGAGUGGCGGACGGGUGAGUAAUGUCUGGGAAACUGCCUGAUGGAGGGGGAUAACUACUGGAAACGGUAGCUAAUACCGCAUAACGUCGCAAGACCAAAGAGGGGGACCCUCGGGCCUCUUGCCAUCGGAUGUGCCCAGAUGGGAUUAGCUUGUUGGUGGGGUAACGGCUCACCAAGGCGACGAUCCCUAGCUGGUCUGAGAGGAUGACCAGCCACACUGGAACUGAGACACGGUCCAGACUCCUACGGGAGGCAGCAGUGGGGAAUAUUGCACAAUGGGCGCAAGCCUGAUGCAGCCAUGCCGCGUGUAUGAAGAAGGCCUUCGGGUUGUAAAGUACUUUCAGCGGGGAGGAAGGGAGUAAAGUUAAUGCCUUUGCUCAUUGACGUUACCCGCAGAAGAAGCACCGGCUAACUCCGUG
rnacentral:rRNA from 1 species